UACGGGAGGCAGCAGUGGGGAAUAUUGCACAAUGGGCGCAAGCCUGAUGCAGCCAUGCCGCGUGUAUGAAAAAGGCCUUCGGGUUGUAAAGUACUUUCAGUCGUGAGGAAGGUGUUAAGGUUAAUAACCUUAGCAAUUGACGUUAGCGACAGAAGAAGCACCGGCUAACUCCGUGCCAGCAGCCGCGGUAAUACGGAGGGUGCGAGCGUUAAUCGGAAUUACUGGGCGUAAAGGGCACGCAGGCGGUUAAUUAAGUUGGAUGUGAAAUCCCCGGGCUUAACCUGGGAAUGGCAUUCAAGACUGGUUAGCUAGAGUCUUGUAGAGGGGGGUAGAAUUCCAUGUGUAGCGGUGAAAUGCGUAGAGAUGUGGAGGAAUACCGGUGGCGAAGGCGGCCCCUGGACAAAGACUGACGCUCAUGUGCGAAAGCGUGGGGAGCAAACAGGGAUUAGAUAC
rnacentral:rRNA from 1 species